CCUACGGGAGGCAGCAGUGAGGAAUAUUGGACAAUGGGCGCAAGCCUGAUCCAGCCAUGCCGCGUGCAGGAAGAAGCAUCUAUGGUGUGUAAACUGCUUUUGUACAGGAAGAAACACUCCCUCGUGAGGGAGCUUGACGGUACUGUAAGAAUAAGGACCGGCUAACUCCGUGCCAGCAGCCGCGGUAAUACGGAGGGUCCGAGCGUUAUCCGGAAUCAUUGGGUUUAAAGGGUCCGUAGGCGGUUUAAUAAGUCAGUGGUGAAAUCUGGUCGCUCAACGAUCAAACGGCCAUUGAUACCUGUUAGACUUGAAUUAUAAGGAAGUAACUAGAAUAUGUAGUGUAGCGGUGAAAUGCUUAGAUAUUACAUGGAAUACCAAUUGCGAAGGCAGGUUACUACUUAUGGAUUGACGCUGAUGGACGAAAGCGUGGGGAGCGAACAGGAUUAGAUACCCUGGUAGUCCACGCCGUAAACGAUGGAUACUAGCUGUUCGGAAGCAA
rnacentral:rRNA from 1 species